rnacentral:rRNA from 1 species
UACGUAGGUGGCAAGCGUUGUCCGGAUUUAUUGGGUUUAAAGGGUGCGUAGGCGGCUCCUUAAGUCAGCGGUGAAAGCCCGGGGCUCAACCCCGGAACCGCCGUUGAUACUGGGGGGCUUGAGUAUGGACGAGGUUGGCGGAAUUGAGGGUGUAGCGGUGAAAUGCUUAGAUACCCUCAAGAACACCGAUUGCGUAGGCAGCUAACUAGGCCAUAACUGACGCUGAGGCACGAAAGCGUGGGGAGCGAACAGG